AUGUUGGACUCCUUGUGGCCUGUGGGGUUGGGGAAGGUCCUAAUGCCUGAAGGAGGAAGAGCAGACGUGGGGGAAACCCCGAUGCAGGGAGUUUGCGUGGCCAGGAGGGAUGCAGGCCCAGACCCCAGCAGUGCAGAGUGGAGACGGCUGGUGGCCGGCAGGGAGGCUGUCCACCCUGCGUCUCUUUGCUGGCCUCAGGAUCGCUGUCAUCAGUCAAGGCUGCCGGAGGCUUGUUUUCACGAGUUCUCUCAAAUGCUGCAGGAGCUUAGGAACAGAAAACAGGAGCUGCCUUCGAGAUCUGUUCUGGCAUUGGAAGCAUCCCAAGGUUUCCAGGGUGUGAAUACUGACUUGUCAACCAAAGGGCACGCUCCUCAUUCUCUCAAUGCCUAUCCUGCCUCUUCCAACCCAGGGUUGUGCCACCAUUUUAUCCAUUAAGCCAGCCCCUGCCUUGUCAGUCCCACCCCAAUACACCAAGGACACUGAACUGGGGUUCUGCAGCAUCUUUGCUGAAAAAAAUGAAA
rnacentral:lncRNA from 1 species